rnacentral:lncRNA from 1 species
AUUUUUUUAAAUUAAAGAAGGUUUAGUCUGGUCUGCCGAAAGAAAUAAAUUGCAUGGUUUCACAGAUUUUUAAACUGCAGAGAGGGAUGAAGUAGCAACCAAUAUCAUACAGUUUUUCUUUAAGAGCUUAUUUUCAGACUUUUGCAUACUGAGCUGUAAAAAACUUGACUGGAGCUCAAGUAUAUAAUGCCUUCUGGGAAGGGAUUUACUUGUUGCAUCUCUUUGGAUUCACAAUUUUAUUGUCAAUCUGUGAUGAAUAGAAAUUUCUUAAAAUAUUGUACCGAAUCAUUUCCAGGUUACCCACAAGCUCAACAUUUG